rnacentral:misc_RNA from 1 species
UCACCCUGCUAUACCGACCCGGACACUAUGACAUCUUGUACACCUGACACACUCAGCAUCUAGUACACCUGACACACUAUGACAUCUUAUACACCUGACACACUAUGACAUCUUGUACACCUGACACACUAUGACAUCUUGUACACCUUACACAACAUGACAUAUUGUACACCUGACACAACAUGACAUCUUGUACACCUGACAUAACAUGACAUCUUAUACACUCGACACUGGUCUGUACUUGAUAAAACACUGAGGCCAUUGCUGCCAGUGAAAAAUAUUUUUUUUUAACAAUUUUGUCAUUGAAUCUGUAAUGUGAUAUGGUAGUUAUUUUACAAUUACAUAACAAUUACAUAAGAUUUUUGUAAAGGCCAUGUGAAUAUGUGUUUACAUCUGUGUAAGACGUACGUGUUUAUGUUUGUUUAAAUUUCACUUCUGCAUGUAUCUGUGAAUGAAUAAAUAUCAGUACACAAAU